AGCGGUAGCGCAGGCCACCCGCUACAAGUCGAAAGCUGCGCUGGGUAAUAGAGUGAUUGGCACGAUGCGGCCGAUAUAUGGGCUGUCAGACCGCAAUAGCGGCCCUUUGUGUAGCGCCAGUUGCGGGCAUAGCGGAAAGCUUAAAAAAUUAGACCACCAAUCCUCUUAUCCGGUUAUCCCAUCCCCUUCUCCUGGCGAUGGGCGGCUGGCACUUCCCUGGCGGCGGCGCGCGGCUAACGCCGGUGGCCGGAUGGAGAGGCAAAUCCAGGCUCACCGUCACCGGAUGCCGCCGCUCCCCUAGCCCCAUCUUCCCCUGCUGGUCUUUGAGGGAGCAGCCAGCACAACGGCCACCUCGUCGCUCUUGCUCGACGACUUUCCCUGUUGGACGAUUGGCCGGUGCGGGACAACACGGCAAGCCGGCGGGCAGUACCUCGCUGGUCCCUGUUCGACGCCCUACUAGUCGACGUCCCAAUGCAGCCCGUCCGCACCUCCUCGCUUGACGACUACUUCUGUCCGGCAGCUAACCUUUUCUCUGUUAUUUGUUUAUACUCAUCGAUUCAUAGUAUCUCCUGUAGCUCAGCUUCUCUGAUCGAUGCACUUACAGAGUUACUGUACUAGGCUUAGUCUAUUCGAUGCACUUACCCUUUUUCCGAUCGAUGCACUUGCAGAGUUACAGUUAGUCUAUUUGAUGCAUAGCUUAGUAGUCAGUACUUAGCACUUGCAGUUACAGUAGACAAAAUUAGGAGGAGCUCAGAUCAUAGAACACUCCAUAAUCUCAUUGGUAGCACUAGCACAAGAUGGAAUUGGUAAUCCCUGUUUGCCUCCGGUAGCUCAGCUCAUAGAACAAUACAUUAUUACUAUAUAGUUGUGCCUCCCGUUCCAUUUCUGUUGUAACUCGGUAGCUGACGAAACUUGCACAUUAUUGUCUUUCUAAAUUCAGUCAAAUUUCUUUUGUAAUUUUCUUUUGUACUUGGCAACUGGCAGUUGUAAAUUCAGUUUGCUUGUAAUAUCUUUUGUACUGUAUCAACAAAUUCAGUUUACUGGCAAUUCUAAAUGAAACAAAUCAACUAUUUGCACUUUUAAUUCAGUUAAAUACCUUAUGUUUUUUUCUGCAGUGGUAAUUCAGUCAACUAUCUGCACAUGUAAUUAAGAAGACCAAGAAGUGUACAUGGAUCUGAAUGGAGAAGAGGAUGAGGAUUGCGAAUGACUUGUGCAUCUUCCAUGAUCAGAACCGGAUCUGUUUAUUUUUGCGUGAUGGUCGUGGUCUCACUUGUAUGGUUGCAUCGUCCAUGGUCAGAACUGGAUCUGUUUAUUUUUGCAUGAUGGUCGUGGUCCGACUUGUAUGGUUGGUUGGUAGUCUUUGUUUGCAUGGUUACAUGGUUGAAUAUUGUACAAUGGACUAAUUGUAGUGUAUAUGUGUUGUGUCAUACUGAUAGUUUUUGUUUGCAUGGUUGAAUAUUGUCCAAAUGGACUAGUUACAGUCUAUAUGCUUAUAUAAAUGAUGAUUAUUCAAUUCAAGUGUCAUAUUGUUGUCAACGGCUUAAAAAUAUACAUUAUAUUCUCAAAUUUGCAAGUGUUUUUACAAAUCCGCUACGCGGACAUAGCGCCCGCAAUAUCGCUCGCUAUCCGCAUUCUGCUAUGCCGAGCCCAAUCCGCUACCAGCCCGCUAUCCACUUUUUAAAACCAUGGCGGGAGGUCACGGGCGCUAGAGAUGGUGGCAGGGUUAAAGGGUUUGUCGGCGGCGGAGGGGACUGCUUCUUUUUUGCAAAGGGGCUUCCACUCGGGUAGGGGAGCACGAGGUAGCGCAUGACAACACUUGCUGACCAUCGGUGGCAAUGGCAAAUGGUUGGGCAGGUAGACUUGGGUGGGUCGAUAUGGUGAACGAAUAAAAAGGUAGGCGGUGGGAGGUAGAAGAACAAUAGCAACAACGGGUUGUCACCGGCGAAACGAGAGGCAAGGGGCUAAUGGACGAGUGCGGGAGCUCAAGGCACCAGUGAUGGUGGCAGGGUUUAGAGGGAUGGUUG
rnacentral:lncRNA from 1 species